rnacentral:rRNA from 1 species
GAGUUUGAUCGUGGCUCAGGAUGAACGCUGGCGGCGUGCUUAACACAUGCAAGUCGAACGGUCGCAAGACAGUGGCGCACGGGUGAGGAACACGUAGCUUAUCUGCCCCAAAGCGUGGGAUAACGCUCCGAAAGGAGUGCUAAUACCGCAUAAGCUCCCGGGUUAUAGAGACCCGAGAGAAAAGGCGCAAGUCACUUUGGGAGGAGGCUGCGGCCCAUCAGGUAGUUGGUGUGGUAACGGCGCACCAAGCCAACGACGGGUAGGGGACCUGAGAGGGUGAUCCCCCACACUGGGACUGAGACACGGCCCAGACUCCUACGGGAGGCAGCAGUGAGGAAUAUUGCUCAAUGGGCGCAAGCCUGAAGCAGCGACGCCGCGUGGGUGAAGAAGGCCUUGGGUCGUAAAGCCCUUUCUGCGUGACGAGGCAAGGGACGGUAGCGCAGGAAAAAGUCUCGGCUAACUACGUGCCAGCCGCCGCUGUAAU